AGAAACUUCUUCGAAUGAUAAUAACAUCGCGCCGGUUGACAUUGUGGAAGGAAAAGAUAGAGCAGAUUCAUCACUAAAAGCAUCAAAGAUAUCCCGUACCACAAUCAAUUGCAGCCAAGAACUUGAUCUCUUGAGCAAGAAUUGGGAAGUGAAUGCAAAAUGCAAGAGGCUUGGAGAUGAAUCAGAGGAUCCAAGGAACUUCAAUCCACGAGAACCGAAUUACUUGCCAUUGGUGCCAGACCCGGAAGCCGAAAAGGUAGAUCUCAAGCAUCAACUGAUGGAUGACAGGAAAAAUGCAGAAGAAUGGA
rnacentral:misc_RNA from 1 species